ACUAACUGGAGGACCGAACCGACUAAUGUUGAAAAAUUAGCGGAUGACCUGUGGCUGGGGGUGAAAGGCCAAUCAAACCGGGAGAUAGCUGGUUCUCCCCGAAAGCUAUUUAGGUAGCGCCUCGUGAAUUCAUCUCCGGGGGUAGAGCACUGUUUCGGCUAGGGGGCCAUCCCGGCUUACCAACCCGAUGCAAACUGCGAAUACCGGAGAAUGUUAUCACGGGAGACACACGGCGGGUGCUAACGUCCGUCGUGAAGAGGGAAACAACCCAGACCGCCAGCUAAGGUCCCAAAGUCAUGGUUAAGUGGGAAACGAUGUGGGAAGGCCCAGACAGCCAGGAUGUUGGCUUAGAAGCAGCCAUCAUUUAAAGAAAGCGUAAUAGCUCACUGGUCGAGUCGGCCUGCGCGGAAGAUGUAACGGGGCUAAACCAUGCACCGAAGCUGCGGCAGCGACACUGUGUGUUGU
rnacentral:rRNA from 1 species